UAUAACCCAUUGAUGAGAAGAGUAAGUAUGAAAAUACUUUUUCAGAGAGAAAGCAUUAUAAGCUGGAAGUGCUUUUAAAAGAAUCAUGCUGAAGACUACCUCAGAGGGGCUUUAAUACAGUCCGGUGACAACGUUAUAGUCAUUUCAAAGUGGUCCUAAAAUUUAUUAGGACAAUUUGGGUGGAACCACGGGUAUAACUCGUCCCUUUU
rnacentral:ncRNA from 1 species